GGAGCAAUUGAAUGAACUUUAGG
rnacentral:siRNA from 1 species